rnacentral:snoRNA from 1 species
AUGAUGUACCUCCGCUAGGCCGACCUCUGACGAACAGCGUGCAAGCCGA